AUAAAAAUUCAAUUAUAUGCAAUGUAGUAUAACCUCAUCAUCUUCCAAAUGAAGAAUGGACCAUAAAUUAUAUAUCACUGGAACUAAAUCAUGAAUCAAGAUAGGUUCCUUGUGGCAAAUAGUGGCAUAUUAUGUAAAAAUCUUGCUAUCUUCCAAAAUGAAGCGACUGAACCAUAAGACCUAAGUUGUUUGCAACCAAACUGGCCUGACCAUAAAUAGUAUGAUGUGUGACCAGAAAACUUUAAUUACACGCAGUCUUGGUUUCUCGUUCCAAGUUA
rnacentral:lncRNA from 1 species